rnacentral:rRNA from 1 species
UACGUAGGGUCCGAGCGUUUGUCCGGAAUUAUUGGGUCGUAAAGAGCUCGUAGGCGGUUUGUCGCGUCUGCGUGUGAAAUCCCGAGGCUCAACCUCGGGCCUGCAGUGGGUACGGGCAGACUUGAGUGGUGUAGGGGGAGACUGGAAUUCCUGGUGUAGCGGUGGAAUGCCGCAGAUAUCAGGAGGAACACCGAUGGCGAAGGCAGGUCUCUGGGGCACGUUACUGACGCUGAGGAGACGAAAGCGUGGGGAGCGAACAGG